rnacentral:rRNA from 1 species
CUACGGGUGGCAGCAGUAGGGAAUAUUGCACAAUGGAGGAAACUCUGAUGCAGCAACGCCGCGUGGAGGAUGACACUUUUCGGAGCGUAAACUCCUUUUAUAUAGGAAGAAGAUGACGGUACUAUAUGAAUAAGCGCCGGCUAACUCCGUGCCAGCAGCCGCGGUAAUACGGAGGGCGCAAGCGUUACUCGGAAUCACUGGGCGUAAAGAGCGUGUAGGCGGAUUAAAAAGUCAGAAGUGAAAUCCUAUAGCUUAACUAUAGAACUGCUUCUGAAACUCUUAAUCUAGAAUAUGGGAGAGGUAGAUGGAAUUUCUGGUGUAGGGGUAAAGUCCGUAGAGAUCAGAAGGAAUACCGAUUGCGAAGGCGAUCUACUAGAACAUUACUGACGCUAAGGCGUGAAAGCGUGGGGAGCAAACAGGAUUAGAUACCCCCGUAGUC